rnacentral:snoRNA from 1 species
AUCCCAUGAUGUGGACACUUCUACAGCAUAUUCUUAAUCCUAUUUCAGGCUUCCUCGAAGUUCUCUGAGUUGCCCUGAUGAAAGACAGUUAUGUCAUGCCUGAGCUU